ACUGGUAUGCGCUCUUGAGCA
rnacentral:siRNA from 1 species